rnacentral:rRNA from 1 species
UACGAGGGGUGCAAGCGUUGCUCGGAAUUAUUGGGCGUAAAGGGUAGGUAGGUGGUCUCAUUUGUCUGGGGUGAAAGCCUUGAGCUUAACUCAAGAAGUGCCCUAGAAACGGUGAGACUGGAGUCUUGGAGAGGGUCGUGGAAUUCCCGGUGUAGCGGUGAAAUGCGUAGAGAUCGGGAGGAACACCAGAGGCGAAAGCGGCGACCUGGACAAGUACUGACACUCAACUACGAAAGCGUGGGUAGCAAACAGG